rnacentral:rRNA from 1 species
GGUUCGAUUCUGGCUCAGAUUGAACGCUGGCGGGAUGCUUUACACAUGCAAGUCGAACGGCAGCACGACUUCGGUCUGGUGGCGAGUGGCGAACGGGUGAGUAAUGUAUCGGAACGUGCCUAGUAGCGGGGGAUAACUACGAAAGCGUAGCUAAUACCGCAUACAGCCCUUCGGGGAAGGCGGGCACUUUCGCCUCGCACUAUUAGAGCGGCCGAUAUCGGAUUAGCUAGUUGCGGGGUAACGGCUCACCAAGGCGACGAUCCGUAUUAUUUGAGACGACCAGCCACACUGCACUGAGAUAUUGGCUUGUGACUUACGGAGCAGCAGUGGGGAAUUUUGGACAAUGGUGAAACCCUAAUCCAGCCAUCCAUGUGCGAUGAAGGCCUUCGGGUUGUAAAGCACUUUUGGCAGGAAAAGAAACGGCAUGAUAAUACCCGUGCAACUGAUUGUACCUGCAGAAUAAGCACCGGCUAACUACGUGCCAGCAGCCGCGGUAAUACGCAGGGUGCAAGCGUUAAUCGGAAUUACUGGGCGUAAAGCGCAGGCGGUUCGGAAAGAAAGAUGUGAAACUUCAGAGUUUAACUUGAACUGCAUUUUAACUACCGAGCUAGAGUGCCGAGGAGGGAAUCGCGUGUAGCAGUGAAAUGCGUAGAUAUGCGGAGGAACACCGACAUGAAGGCAGCCUCCUGGGAUAACACUGACGCUCAUGCACGAAAGCGUGGGGAGCAAACAGGAUUAGAUACCUUUGGUAGUCCACGCCCUAAACGAUGUCAACUAUUGUUGGGCUCACCAGUAGCAGCUAACGCGUGAAGUUGACCGCCUGGGAGUACGGUCGCAAGAUUAAAACUCAAAGGAAUUGACGGGGACUGCACAAGCGGUGGAUGAUGUGGAUUAAUUCGAUGCAACGCGAAAAACCUUACCUAAUUUUUGACAUGUUCCUGGGAAUCCGUGAAGGAGAUUUGGGAGCUCGUAAGAGAACCGGAACACAGUGCUGCAUGGUCGUCGUCAGCUCGUGUCGUGAGAUGUUGGGUUAAGUCCCGGCAACGAGCGCAACCCUUGUCAUUAUUGCUACGAAAGGGCACUCUAAUGAGACUGCCGGUGACAAACGGAGGAAGGUGUAUGACGUCAAGUCCUCUCAUGGCCCUUAUGGGUAGGGCUUUGUCACCGUCAUACAAUGGUCGGGACAGAGGGUCGCCAACCCGGCGAGGGGGAGCCGAAUCCCAGAAACCCGAUCGUAGUCCGCUGGAUCGCAGUCUGCAACCUGACUGCGGGAAGUCGGAACUGCCAGUAAUCGCGGAUCAGCAUGUCGCGGUGAAUACGUUCCCGGGUCUUGUACACACCGCCUGCCUACACCAAGGAGUGGGUUUUACCAGAAGGUAGUUAGCCUAACCGUAAGGAGGGCGAUUACCACGGUAGGAUUCAUGACUGGGGUGAAGUCGUACCGCGUAA